GACAUUCAAUAUCAUACUCGGAUAACACCAUCUGCCAACGGGAAAUUCUCCCAGUUAAAGUAGGUUUCUCAAACAUGUACUUGAUUGGAUCCAUUUUAGAUAUCAACCAAGUAGUAUGAUUUAACAUACACUAACACAUACGCUUAGCAACCCAAGCCAAUGCGCAACAUGCCUUUUCAAGCAUAAAAUAUCGAGUCUUACAGUCGAUGAACUUCUUGCUAAGGUAGUAAAUUGCAUACUCUUUCUUUCCUGAUUCAUC
rnacentral:lncRNA from 1 species